rnacentral:rRNA from 1 species
UACGGGGGGGGGCAAGCGUUGUUCGGAAUUACUGGGCGUAAAGGGCUCGUAGGCGGCCAACUAAGUCAGACGUGAAAUCCCCAGGCUCAACCUGGGAACUGCGUCUGAUACUGGAUGGCUUGAAUUCGGGAGAGGGAUGCAGAAUUCCAGGUGUAGCGGUGAAAUGCGUAGAUAUCUGGAGGAAUACCGGUGGCGAAGGCGGCAUCCUGGACCGACAUUGACGCUGAUGAGCGAAAGCUAGGGGAGCG